UACGUAGGUGGCAAGCGUUGUUCGGAAUUAUUGGGCGUAAAGGGCGCGUAGGCGGUUUGUUAAGUCAGCUGUGAAAGCCCGGGGCUCAACCCCGGAGGGUCAGCUGAUACUGGCAGACUAGAGUACAGAAGAGGUAACUGGAAUUCCCGGUGUAGCGGUGAAAUGCGUAGAUAUCGUCAAGAACACCUAUUGCGAAGGCAGCUCACUAAGCUUUAACUGACACUGAGGCACGAAAGUGUGGGGAUCAAACAGG
rnacentral:rRNA from 1 species